CUUGCCAUUGUCUGCAUUUGGGUCCUCGCCUCAGUCUGCACUCAGCACCCUGACCUGUGACAUAUUCAGCCUACCAGACAGUGACUGCAUCCUCUACUUAUUAACUGAAUGGUUAAUUCUGCUCUGAAAUGACUUGAUUAUAUUGGUUAUAUUUGACAGGUUAUAAAACCGUAAUGUUAUAUAUAAUGUUUUUUUAUGACAUACUGACCACCAAUCCAAAAAUGUCCCUGAUUUUCAUUUCAGAAAUCUGGUCACCGUAUGCUAUAUUGCAUUACCUCGUUAAUGAAUAGCUCAUCAACUGCAGUAUGUCGCCACUGUGUAAAAGUCAGAUCUGGAUGCUAACAGAGUUUAGGCUAAAGUUAGCAUCCCUGCUCUUAACUGGAUUUGAGGAAGUUUACACUACAGCAGCCACAGCAAAACCUGUUAGUCAAGAGCAUUAAGUCAUUAUUGUACCAACAAUACUAACUGUGUUACAAUAAAUGAGGUAACCCGAACACAGACUCGGAUGCAAGGUGAAGAAACAGGAUAUUAUUGUAACAGAUUGAGAGAAUGGGGGAGGACUCCGGCUGGCGAUGGUGAAAGUUAAGGGGAGAAUGAAGGUGGGUGAGCUGAGCUGGGAGUGUGGGAUGAGUGGUAAGCAGGCGAGGCAAGAGCUUGAGGUGCUAGGCUGUGUGUGGCAGGCUGUGAGGCUAGCAGCCUGGCAAGAGCUCAGGCAAUGAUCCUGAGGCACAGAAGACAAGGCAUAGAGCUGAGAAGGCGCUGAAACAACAAUCUAGUGAAGAAUGGAUGAAUAACCAGGGUUGAUAUACUGCUGGGCUGAUGGAUUGCAGAUGGGUGCCAGAAGUGCUGAUUGCAGUAUCCAACCAGAUGUGGAGCGCCUGGUCCCAGUGCUCUACAGGAUGUAAAAGUCCCAGCUUCCAUCAUGGCUCAUGCUCUUCUCUGCCAGCUCCUGCAUCCUACUGCUUUUAUUUUUACUUUUACUCCACAACACCUUUUCCCACAAUACUACGGAUUUCACUGGCGAACGCACUUUGCCAAAUUAUGACACUGAUUCCUUUCCACAGGUUCUGUCAUUAUAAUUACUGUUAAAACUGUUACACAGAGGAUUUAUUUAAGUAUAUUGACUGUAUAUUAUUUCAAGUCUUACAAAAUUACUUUUACAUUUGUAACCUUUUAAUAUUAAUGUUUUUUGUGAAUGCAAGAUGAUUUAAUUUGUUAAUCUGUUACUUGUGUAUGGGUAAUAAUUUUUGUUUUAAAAAAUAGAUCAGACUAAAUAUAAGA